GCCAUCUGUCCAGCCCUCAGACUUUGAAAUUCUUAAGAAAAAUAAUAUUGAGCUGCACAAGAAACUUUUCUUAUAACAUAGUCAGGAUUAUGUAUCAGUGGCCUCAGAUGAGCUAUGAACAAUUAUAUUUUCAUGAGAGAAACAAAUAUGUAUAUAUCUUGAAUAAUAUGAAGCACGAGGUUCUUUUUUUUAAUGACCUGGUUAUAGAGUUUAUUACUAAGUUGUAAAAAGUGUCCUAUGGGAGCUAUCGAAGAGGAAAAGUGGAAAGAUCCUAAGUGGGAAAAGGGAAAAAAUUCUUAUUUAUCUGCCUUCCUUGGAAGAUGUUUGUGGCAUAGACACUCCUUUCUAAUAUGUGUUACAAGGUGAGAUGGUGCACAUAAUGAUGACUAGGUUCAUAACUAGGUGGAGCGUUGCUCUCCAGGUAUAAAUUGGACAAGCAUUGUGAGCAAGAAGCAAACCUUCAUUAGCAUGUUCUUGGCAUCUAAUGUUCUAGAUUGUUUUAUUGUGUGCCUCAGGGAGCUCUCAAGAACUAAGUUAUAUAAAAGUUAUGGAGAAAUGACUUGUAUAUAGGUAAUUUGCCAGUGAUGUUGAGACUUAAGCUUGUACCUUAUCAGAGGGAGGUUAUCAUGGCAAACAGAUCUCUUGAAGGGGAAAGGUAAACACCAUGUGCCAUAGUACCCAUCCUAGGACUUGGUUGUUCACAUUGGGGUUUAAACACUUGCUAUAUUGCUCAAAGGCUGAGUGAGAAUAGCUAACUUAUGUGGUUCCCAGCACAACAUCAUUGUUAUGUCUAGGAAGUCUAACAAGACAUUCCACUGAGAUCUGAAUCCAUUUCCAUCUUUUAUCCUUAUCAUUAUGUUCUAUAAAGGUUUGAGGCGUUCACUACCACCACUCUGCCCUUGGCAUCAGUGUGGAAAGACGUUCACACCAGGGCACCUCAGUGCAGCACUCAUCACUGGCUUUUCUGGGAGGCUUCUUCAACUACAAUACAACAAGAUCUAUAUUUAAAUGAGGUUACAGAAGGCAGCAUAUGAUAUUCUGACACUGUGAGAGAUAUGGUAAUCGAGCCUCAAAAACAGAAUAUCAUUCAGUAAGGGGUUAGUAAAGUGGCUAAUUGACAUUUCUUUGGAGCUGCAUGGCCAGGAUCCAGGCACAGGGCGGUUAGAUCCUGUUGAGGCUUGCUUCCUGUCUUCUCCAAUGACCUCAUGUAAACCAAAGGCUUACAUCUAGAUACCAUUCCUCUGGGAGUUAGGGCUUUAGUAUAUGCAGUCUAGGAGAUACAAAUGUUCAUUGUAUAAUAGGUAUAGUAAGUUCUAAUCAAAUCAUAGUGACUACCAUUGUGUUAUUAUCCAUCUUAAGAACUACUGUGAUGGUUUAAAUGAAAGUGGCCCCAAUAGUCCUAUAGAAAGUGGUACUAUUAGGCAGUGUGGCCUUGUUGGUAUAAAUGUGGCCUUGUUGGAGGUAACUGGAAGAGGACUUUGGGGUUUCAGAAACCCAAACUACACCCGGAGUCGCUCUCUCUUCCUGCUGCCUGCCAGUCAGGAUGUAGAACCCUCCACUUCUCCAGCAUCAUGUCUGCUUGUGUGUUUCCAUACUUCUCAUCAUGGUGAUAAUAGAGUAAACCUCUGAACUGUAAGCCAAACCCAGUUAAAUUCUUUCCUUUUUAAGAUUUGCUAUGGUCAUGGUGUCUCUUCACAGCAAAAUAAAUCCCAAGUAAAACCACAGUUAAAUGACAAAUGUUUGCUCAAGAAAGUUUUAUCUACAGCCAUUUCUGAAAGUAAAGUAAUUGCAUAGAAACUGUAACAUAUCUAUAUGAGAAUUUAUAUGUUGAUCUCAGUGCCAUAUUUUUUUUCAAAAACUACCUACUUGGUUGCAGCUUCUCAAUCAAUUCUCUACAACAAUUUGUGAUGGAAAAACAUAAAAUUGGAGCGUAUAGUCCCAACUGAUUAAAUAUCUACUUUAACUUGUCUUCUAACUCAAAUGUUUCUGCAAUUUAGCUGUACCAUCUCAUAAUUAGGAGGAAUUCUAAAAAGAUCCACAGCUGGGACCUAGUCCCAGUAUAAUAAAUCAGAACAUUUAGAGGUGAAAUAAGACAUGAAUAUAGGUGAGUUUCUUUGGGUGACUCUUUUAUGCAUUAGGCCCAGAAACAAUUUAAAAUACAAUGUGAUGUAGCUAUUCCUGCUGGCUACAUCUCGUGUUCAUGGCUGCAUCUCUUGAGUGACAGUCUCAGCCACUUGGCUCUGAGAAGACUGUCAUCAGUGAUGGCAUCUGACUUGUGUUUGUAUUUGUAGGGUCAGUUCUUGUGCAGAGAGGGGGUCUCAAAACAUCAGUAACUAUACAUAAACAAUAACUUAGGAAAGAAUUGUCUUAAGCCUACAUACACUUUAUACUGGACCAAUCAUGAAGAGAAAGUACCAUGUCCUUCCUUACUGAAAAUUAUGGUAUGAGGCUCCACUGGGCACUGGGCUCUGAUUAUUAAAGCAAAGGGUCAGAACUGAAAGUGGUGCCGAUGAAUAGAUAGAUACAGAUGUUAAUAGGGAGAGCAUGUGUGGUGCUAAUGAGGCAUGGAGGAAACAGUGCUUCAAAGUGUUAAGAAAGCUGUUGUAAUAUCAAUAAAGGAAGAGAGGCCCCAACCAGUGCCUCUAUGAUUGUAAGCCCUUUUAGCAUAGAACAUCUUGUUUUGUAAGAUAUCUUAAUCUUUUACUUGUAUAUUCAAUCAUAAUAAAGGUAAAUAAACAUGUUUAUUAUCAUUCAAAUGCUGAAUUGCACUGACUAUGUGUAUAACUACAGAAAGUCAUUUUGCUUUCCUUGACUUCAUCUGAGAAAGGAUGCAGUUUAGCCUCAAUUCCCUAUGUUAUUGCCCAAGUCAAGGAGCAAUACAGCCUAUACUUAAUCUCAAAUGCCUGGUGUGUGAAGCCGAGGAUGCAACUGUCGGAUACUAAUCCUCCUCCUUAGUGCUUGUUAGUGUAUGUGCUCUGCUGUUCAGCAGAGCAAGGAGUGGCUCUCAUUUCUACUCCUGCUAUGAGAUUUUCACACAUUUUUCUUUCCCGUUUUGCUAUGCAGAGUCAGGUCAGGAAAGAACUCAGAAUAAGUAUUUGUGAUCAUUCUAGGGCUUGGGAGGCAAUUUCUUCAUCUUCUUUCUUUCCUUUGAUUCAGAGGUUUCAAUACUUUGAAUCAGUGUACCAACUGAAGGCAGGCCAACGGUGAACACGGUUCCAAAGCAGAUUGCAUAAAAUGUAAGGCUGGCACCUCGCUGGAAGCUGUCAGGCCAAACUUCUCACUGUGUGAUAGAAGUGCAGGCAUCCCCAAAGGCAGCAACAGCCAGGCAGCUUUGAACUUUGAUAGGUCAAAGUAAGAUGUGUGGAACUUGGACCGACUCCCAUCUCAGCACUUAAUUCCCUGACACUCUUGGCUGCCUUUGUUCAGCUGCACCUCAUAUUGUUUUCUGGAGCAGUGUCAUAGAAUGUGCAUAAGGUUUUAUUUCUACACUAGGAAGGACCUUUGACUGGUAAGAGCUGGGCAUGAUUUCCUGUACCAGCAUCUUCACUAAAGAAAACUGCCCCUUCAUUAUUGCCCUUUCAUAUUGCAUUUCAAGAGGGUUAAUCUUCCAGAAGGCAAUGAUGUGCCAUGCCUGUUCAGAUUACAGAUCCAGGGGAAACACAUCAGCUUAGCCUCCUCUUUCUCUACAUGUACAAGAUCUUCACCUCCCUACUCAACUAAUGCCAAAUCCAAGUUCAUGGUUUCUUGCUAGUCUUCCUCAUAUGAGCUGACAUUUAGACGAAACAGAAACCUGUGGCCCCAGUGUUGCAGCUGUGAGUAUGUUGAAGUCUUACUGAGUGGAAUGUGAAAUGAUGAGAAGAAACCUGGGAAGCUGUAGUUGGUCUGAAUGCCACCCCAGCAAGUGCUGUGAGAGUUAAAUCGGAUCCUCGAGGAGCUCUGAGGUCAUUAGUGAAAUUCCCUUCUUGUUUUCCUUUUCAUGUUCUUUGUUUUGUUUGCUUGAUCCUUUCACUGGAUAGUUUUCAUAGACUCGGAAGGAAAUCAAUACCACAGGAAAAAAAAAGAAAGAAAGAACCAGACCUGUAAUGUUCCUGACUGAGUCAAAUCCAAGACACAGUGGAAAUCUACACAACAGUCCAAGUUUGUGAGAUUUCCAGCCUGAAAGUCAGACCAGAGAGAUUAGCUGUGACAUGCGGGCCUCUCCAAGACCACCCUAAAUCAACGUCAGAUUUUGUGAUAUGUUGGCAAGUGACAAGCUAGUAUUUUGGAAUAAAAUGAUCUGCCUUGUGCUGUAUACCUAUGUCUAGCUAUAACUGAUCUCUCUAUGACUGAUGCUGCUGCCUGCAUUUCAUUACUUACCAUCUGGCAGAAAGUGUUUGAGCUUUCAGACUUUGAUGAAUGAGACACACAUCAAUUAGAAGUACUUGUAACGAUGGUAAGUGAACAGUGAAAUCUACAAGCCUGGCUGAAACGAACCCAAGAGAGCAACACGUAUACAUGUACAAAAGGAAACUUUUAUUUGCACUAAAAAUGGACGACGAGCACCUCCCUAAACCACAGUCCAUGGAGAGCAUCUGCCAAAUACUGUGAGAUUUAGAUGAAUUAAGGAAAGUUGCUUAAAAUAAAAAUAAAUGAGUAUCUCCACCUCCUGAGUGAAAUGUAAAAUUCUCACAAAUAAGUAGGAAUCCUGAGGGAGAGUGGGUGGGCUGAAGUGAGCAGCCAGGGGGACUGUGGGCUUCUCUUAAAUCUGAGCUCCUAAAUGGGAAAAAAUUCUUCUGGAUGAAAGUUAACGAGAAACAGAAAUGUUUAGUUGCUGCUUAAGUCUGUGAACAAUGGGAGAGCUUAAUUUAAACUCUACAAAAGGGUCUGCCUGACCUCCUUUACCUUAGGAGAAAUAUGUUCACAAGCACAGGACAAAAGUCACCCAAUGGUCAAGUACUUGUGACAAGAUGUCUCAUUUAAAACUGGCCCAGUCGAAGGUUACUUUGUCUGUUUCUCUAUUUUAUUACUGGACAAAUGGUAGAGACAGUACUCAACCUGUUUAAAAUGAGGAAUGGGCAUCCACUUCUGGUGAAUGUGGUUCAGCCAGAAGCAGAGAUUCCAACUGUUCCAUGCUAGACAUAGAAGGAACAGUCAGUGAAGUUCAGACAACAAACUUAAGCUGGUGACUGCCUUAGUUUAUGUUCCAGUUUCAGAUGGGAGCACAGAAACCUCUGGCAGCUUGCUCAUCUCUCCAGACUGAAGACGUGGAACUGGAAGCCUGGAGGGUCAGGCGUUUCCAGUGAGAAGAACAGAGGCAAGCACAAUGGAAAGGGACUCCAGGGAGGCACAGAAUUUGUCUCCAAUCAUCGUCUAAGUAUUUGUCUACAUAUGCACUAAGACCAAGAGCAGAAUGGCCUAGGGAUUAGGAAAUUAUUACUUUGAGUUCCCUUGUGGCUGGAAUAUUUCCUGUUGUCACCAGUCAGUUUCAAUCUCAUCCGUUUAAGUUCAAAAAUGUAGUAUGAAAAACUGAGCACGAGGUCGACCACUGUUCUUGUCUUCUUCACUAAAUUUUACAAUCGAGACUUUAAGGCAUUGAUUCAUUUCUUUCUUAUCUACGCCUCCAGAGCAAAGCUUAAGAUGACAAGGCUUGAGGAAAUAGCACGGUCGUUGAGCACUUUCCCAGUAUAAGCAAGGUUCUGGUUUCAUUUUCCAGUAUUAAAAAAAACAAAACAAAACAACAAUAAAAAAAAUUAGUUCUCAGUAGGGACAAUUCACAAUGUUUAUCAUCCUACCCUUUAACAACUGAAAAACAAUAUAAUUUCAACAAAGCAGAAAUACCUAUUUUCAAUAAAAAGUAAAUUUAAUCAAUUAAAAUGAGAUAAGAGUUCCAAAAUUAUUAGACAAGGACAUGAAAACAUUUGUUACUGCUUCAUAUAGCCCAGAAACUGGAGGAAAGAUAGAAAAUAUUCUGGGUACAGUAGGAUAGGAAGAUAUAAAAAUUGACCAAAGUUUUGAAUGAAGACAAUGGCAAUUCCUGAAAUGAAAACCACACAUUAAAUUGUAUUAUCAGAGAUGGGAAUCACAGAUGAGUAAAUGUAAAGACAGCAAUCAGAAAAUUUCAGAACUCUAGUUUAAAAAAACCUACUGAAAGAUUAAUAUGGUAAAAGAAAAAGGAGACAAAGGCAU